CCUACGGGGCGCAGCAGUCGAGAAUCAUUCACAAUGGGGGAAACCCUGAUGGUGCGACGCCGCGUGGGGGAAUGAAGGUCUUCGGAUUGUAAACCCCUGUCAUGUGGGAGCAAAUUAAAAAGAUAGUACCACACGAGGAAGAGACGGCUAACUCUGUGCCAGCAGCCGCGGUAAUACAGAGGUCUCAAGCGUUGUUCGGAAUCACUGGGCGUAAAGCGUGCGUAGGCUGUUUCGUAAGUCGUGUGUGAAAGGCGCGGGCUCAACCCGCGGACGGCACAUGAUACUGCGAGACUAGAGUAAUGGAGGGGGAACCGGAAUUCUCGGUGUAGCAGUGAAAUGCGUAGAUAUCGAGAGGAACACUCGUGGCGAAGGCGGGUUCCUGGACAUUAACUGACGCUGAGGCACGAAGGCCAGGGGAGCGAAAGGGAUUAGAUACCCUAGUAGUC
rnacentral:rRNA from 1 species